rnacentral:snRNA from 1 species
GUACCAACUUCAGCAGUACAUAUAUUAAAAGUGGAAUGAUACAGAGAAGAUUAGCAUGGACCC